rnacentral:rRNA from 14 species
GGGGACCGCCGGGGUUAACUCGGAGGAAGGUGGGGAUGACGUCAAGUCAUCAUGCCCCUUAUGUCCAGGGCUUCACGCAUGCUACAAUGGCCGGUACAAAGAGUUGCGAGCCUGUGAGGGUGAGCGAAUCUCGGAAAGCCGGUCUCAGUUCGGAUUGGGGUCUGCAACUCGACCCCAUGAAGUCGGAAUCGCUAGUAAUCGCGAAUCAGAAUGUCGCGGUGAAUACGUUCCCGGGCCUUGUACACACCGCCCGUCAAGCCAUGGAAGCUGG